CGGGGCGUAGUUCAGAUGGCUAGAACGUUGGGCUGGGGGUCCAAAGGUCGCAGGUUCGAGCCCUGUCGCCCCGA
rnacentral:tRNA from 1 species